rnacentral:tmRNA from 1 species
GGGGGCGUAAUGGUUUCGACGGGGAUUCUGAGAUACGGUAAGCGGGUAGAGCCGGGUAACUCUUAAACUGCCCAAACAAAUUAAACGCGAACGAUAAAGUCGCACUGGCCGCGUAAGCGGUGCCGCUGCCAUAAGGCAGCCCGUUCCUCCCGGGAGUACCGCGGCCCGGGAAUGAACGUCAGCGAGCGGUGAACGUGAUUCCGGAAGGCCGUCGGCCGGAAUCAUGUACAAGACGGCUUACCGC